UGGGGAAUUUUGGACAAUGGGCGAAAGCCUGAUCCAGCAAUGCCGCGUGUGUGAAGAAGGCCUUCGGGUUGUAAAGCACUUUUGUCCGGAAAGAAAAUCCUUGGCUCUAAUACAGUCGGGGGAUGACGGUACCGGAAGAAUAAGCACCGGCUAACUACGUGCCAGCAGCCGCGGUAAUACGUAGGGUGCAAGCGUUAGUCGGAAUUACUGGGCGUAAAGCGUGCGCAGGCGGUUUGCUAAGACCGAUGUGAAAUCCCCGGGCUCAACCUGGGAACUGCAUUGGUGACUGGCAGGCUAGAGUAUGGCAGAGGGGGGUAGAAUUCCACGUGUAGCAGUGAAAAUGCGUAGAGAUGUGGAGGAAUACCGAUGGCGAAAGGCAGCCCCCUGGGCCAAAUACUGACGCUCAUGCACGAAAAGCGUGGGGGAGCAAAACAGGAUUAGAUACCCCUGGUAGUCCACGCCCUAAAACGAUGUCAACUAGUUGUUGGGGAUUCAUUUCCUUAGUAACGUAGCUAACGCGUGAAGUUGACCGCCUGGGGAGUACGGUCGC
rnacentral:rRNA from 1 species